rnacentral:rRNA from 1 species
UACAGAGGUCUCAAGCGUUGUUCGGAUUCAUUGGGCGUAAAGGGUGUGUAGGUGGCGCCGUAAGUCGGGUGUGAAAUUUCGGAGCUUAACUCCGAAACUGCAUUCGAUACUGCGGUGCUUGAGGACUGGAGAGGAGACUGGAAUUCAUGGUGUAGCAGUGAAAUGCGUAGAGAUCAUGAGGAAGACCAGUGGCGAAGGCGGGUCUCUGGACAGUUCC